rnacentral:tRNA from 1 species
GCCCGACUGGCUCAGUCGGUAGAGCAUGCGAUUCUUGAUCUUGGGGUCAUCAGUUCAAGCCGACGUUGGGCA